AGGGAUUGCCCUAGUAACGGCGAGGUGAAGCGGCAACAGCUCAAAUUUGAAAUCUGGCUCUUUUAGAGUCCGAGUUGUAAUUUGCAGAGGGCGCUUUGGCUUUGGCAGCGGUCCAAGUUCCUUGGAACAGGACGUCACAGAGGGUGAGAAUCCCGUACGUGGUCGCUGGCUAUUGCCGUGUAAAGCCCCUUCGACGAGUCGAGUUGUUUGGGAAUGCAGCUCUAAAUGGGAGGUACAUUUCUUCUAAAGCUAAAUAUUGGCCAGAGACCGAUAGCGCACAAGUAGAGUGAUCGAAAGAUGAAAAGCACUUUGGAAAGAGAGUCAAACAGCACGUGAAAUUGUUGAAAGGGAAGCGCUUGCAGCCAGACUUGCUUACAGUUGCUCAUCCGGGUUUCUACCCGGUGCACUCUUCUGUAGGCAGGCCAGCAUCAGUUUGGGCGGUAGGAUAAAGGUCUCUGUCACGUACCUCCUUUCGGGGAGGCCUUAUAGGGGAGACGACAUACUACCAGCCUGGACUGAGGUCCGCGCAUCUGCUAGGAUGCUGGCGUAAUGGCUGUAAGCGGCCCGUCUUGAAACACGGACCAAGGAGUCUAACAUCUAUGCGAGUGUUUGGGUGUCAAGCCCGAGCGCGUAAUGAAAGUGAACGGAGGUGGGAACCCGCAAGGGUGCACCAUCGACCGAUCCUGAUGUCUUCGGAAGGAUUUGAGUAAGAGCAUGGCUGUUGGGACCCCGAAAGAUGGUGAACUAUGCUUGAAUAGGGUGAAGCCAGAGGGAACUCUGGUGGAGGCUCGCAGCGGUUCUGACGUGCAAAUCGAUCGUCAAAUUUGGGCAUAGGGCGAAAGACUAAUCGAAACUAUCUAGUAGCUGGUUCCUGCCGAAGUUCCCUCAGAUAGCAGUAACGUAUUCAGCUUUUUAUGAGGUUAAGCGCAAGGGAAUUAAGACGGGCGCUCG
rnacentral:rRNA from 1 species